UACGUAGGGGGCGAGCGUUGUCCGGAAUUAUUGGGCGUAAAGGGUUCGUAGGCGGUUUUUUAAGUCAGAUGUGAAAGGUCACGGCUCAACCGUGGUAAGCAUUUGAAACUGAAAGACUUGAGUUAAGGAGAGGAAAGUGGAAUUCCUAGUGUAGCGGUGAAAUGCGUAGAUAUUAGGAGGAAUACCGGUGGCGAAGGCGACUUUCUGGACUUUUACUGACGCUCAGGUACGAAAGCGUGGGGAGCAAACAGG
rnacentral:rRNA from 1 species